UCCACCUGAACCGCUCACAUAUUUUAUUUUGUAGUAUUUGCGUGCACUUCCCCUUCAGGCAGAAAGACUGGAGCCGAGGAAAAGAGCGGGAGACGUAGACCGGAGCGUAACACUCAGCUCAGCUCUGCGCUGCAUUGUAUCAGUUGUAAAUGUAUAUGCAGAAUUCCAACGGAUAACUAACCAGAACCUACCGAACACUUUCUAUACUGAGCUUGAUCGCCACACUCCUCGUCUGAUGACAUUAUUUAGACAGAAAGCUUCCAAAACUGAAAGACUGCAGAAGCUUUGGCAGACAUUUCAAAGUCCAUGAUACACAGGAAUUACACGAUGUCCACAAAUGGCGUACCACUGUUCUCCAUGCCCUUCCUGUGUAUCGACGUGAGGAAGUCUCUGGAUUUUUCAGAACAUGUGUGGAUGAUAUGGAUGAGCCAGACCUGGAGGAUGCAUCAGUGGUCCUCCUUACAACCGUCAGUGAUGAUGCCACAAGCCCAGUUCACUACCACCCAGCGAGAGUCUCUGUUGUCCUAGAGGGUGAUGUGGUUGUCAAUCUCCCCAGGCUUGCUGAUGCCUUUGUGGUAACGUUCGGCCUAAUCUACACACUACAUCUCAGCUAUCCCAAGGGACUGACAAACACUUUUGAGUUCACACAGAAAAUCUUGCUUGGUCUUGAUGACUCUAAACUGUCACCCAAGCUGCAGACUCUUAAAAAUGACCUGAUGUUGUAUGUCUAACUCAAGAUCCAAAAAGGAGUGGUGGGUUCUGAUGGCUCACUCUGUUAGAAGAUAGUCCACAAUGGUUUUCAGCCAAAUGGCACAAAGUAUACACUGUCUUUCUACUUGUUAAUGUAAAUGUUUUUAUUGUUAAACUGAAUUGCAGGGUUGUUAAGUGUUUAUACACAAUAGCGUUUUGUUUUUAAAAGGUGUACUAUAUAAUUUGGGGAGAUACAUUUUUCUCAUAAAAGAAAGCACAUUGAUACAUUUUCAUAAAUAAAUAAACAACUGUCUUCAAAGUUUCUGGCUGCUUUACUUGUGUAAAGUAGUCACUUUUCUAGUAUGAAUUGAAUUACUUUUCUAAAACUAUACAGUGCACCCUGAGGUUGUUAGAUGUGUAUCAGAUAGCCAAAGGAAGGCUACAAACUGCCUUAUAUGUUAAUGUAGAGUUUUGAAAUUUUAGUUGUGAAAAAUUUACAAGCAAUUUGUUUAUACAUUGCUGCACUGCAAGUCUACAACCAGAUGGCCAAAAGUGUGCCUUUUGUAAUUGUUUCUUUAAUGAUCUUUUUUAUUGUUUUUUACUACUAUCAUUGUUUUAUUAAUAUUAUUAUUAUAAGUUAUUGUUUAUGUUUCAUUUUGUGCUAAAAGGGACAGGUGUGGGCUAAUCAAAUUUUUGGUCACCACCCAAGACUUGCUGAUGCCCCCUUAGUAAUGUUGUAUAACAGUUUAUAAGCUUGUGACAUGAAGAUAUUUUCUUAAUAGUUCAUCUUGAAACAAAAUGGCUAGAAGUAGACUUGUUAAUUGUUAUAUUAUUUAUUUGUGUUUUUAUUUGUUUUGUUUUUUUAUUUCUGAUAUUUGUUUGCUAAAAAACUGGCCAGGAAAGGUUUCUACUAAACAUCUGAAUAAAAUAUAUAU